rnacentral:rRNA from 1 species
GAUGAACGCUGGCGGCGUGCCUAAUACAUGCAAGUCGAGCGAACAGAUAAGGAGCUUGCUCCUUUGACGUUAGCGGCGGACGGGUGAGUAACACGUGGGUAACCUACCUAUAAGACUGGGAUAACUUCGGGAAACCGGAGCUAAUACCGGAUAACAUUUGGAACCGCAUGGUUCUAAAGUGAAAGAUGGUUUUGCUAUCACUUAUAGAUGGACCCGCGCCGUAUUAGCUAGUUGGUAAGGUAACGGCUUACCAAGGCAACGAUACGUAGCCGACCUGAGAGGGUGAUCGGCCACACUGGAACUGAGACACGGUCCAGACUCCUACGGGAGGCAGCAGUAGGGAAUCUUCCGCAAUGGGCGAAAGCCUGACGGAGCAACGCCGCGUGAGUGAUGAUGGGUUUCGGCUCGUAAAACUCUGUUAUUAGGGAAGAACAAAUGUGUAAGUAACUGUGCACGUCUUGACGGUACCUAAUCAGAAAGCCACGGCUAACUACGUG